rnacentral:lncRNA from 1 species
CAGUUUGUGAUUUAUGUUUGAUUAAAAAUUUAUUCAUUUUUAAGUUGAACAUUAAAUGAUAUAAUUUAGUUCAUUAACUCAAAACUUGUCAAUUAAGUAAACAAUGAUAACUCUUUAACGAUUGAUUUUUUUAAAUAACCUCAUUAAAUUUAAAGAUUGAACAUAAAUUGUGAACAUCGUUCAGAUAGUAAUGUUAAAGAUGGAAAAGUUCAAUUCAAUACAAGAUAAAGAAAUGUCGAAGAAAUCAAAGCCAAAUUAUGAAUUAUCGAAUUGAUUUUUACAACAAUCUAUAAAGGUUUUUUCAGUGUUACUAUUUUUGGAUUCAUUGCCAAUCAAUCAAGUAGUAAUCAAUUUAACUAUUAACAAAUAAACUACUUCAGGGGCUGUAGAUUUUGGUAAUUCAUAUUUAGUUAGGUUUUGGUAAUUCAUAUCUUGAUUCUAAAAGCCUGAGGGCUGUUGAAUGCAACGAAAUAAACAAUGCCAAAAAUGCAAAUGAUUUUGGCGGUGUACAUCCUGAUUUAAAAUGCCCAAAUGCUGCCCACAGUUAUUUAUCACAGUUAAUUAUCGGUUAAUAAAAAACGUUGGAAUUUCACUCGAUUCAAUUUAUUUGAUAAUUCAACUGAUUCAGAAUAAUUUAUUUAAAAGAAAUAUAUAAUUUUAUUUUA